rnacentral:rRNA from 1 species
GUGGGGAAUCUUGCGCAAUGGGCGAAAGCCUGACGCAGCCAUGCCGCGUGAAUGAUGAAGGUCUUAGGAUUGUAAAAUUCUUUCACCGGGGACGAUAAUGACGGUACCCGGAGAAGAAGCUCCGGCUAACUUCGUGCCAGCAGCCGCGGUAAUACGAAGGGGGCUAGCGUUGCUCGGAAUUACUGGGCGUAAAGGGAGCGUAGGCGGACAUUUAAGUCAGGGGUGAAAUCCCAGAGCUCAACUCUGGAACUGCCUUUGAUACUGGGUGUCUUGAGUGUGAUAGAGGUAAGUGGAACUCCGAGUGUAGAGGUGAAAUUCGUAGAUAUUCGGAAGAACACCAGUGGCGAAGGCGACUUACUGGAUCAUUACUGACGCUGAGGCUCGAAAGCGUGGGGAGCAAACAGGAUUAGAAACCCCAGUAGUCC